rnacentral:rRNA from 1 species
AUUGAACGCUGGCGGCAGGCCUAACACAUGCAAGUCGAACGAGUGGCGGACGGGUGAGUAAUGUCUGGGAAACUGCCUGAUGGAGGGGGAUAACUACUGGAAACGGUAGCCAAUACCGCAUACCAUAAGUUGUGCCCAGAUGGGAUUCGCUAGCUGGUGGGGUACCGGCUCUCCAAGGCGAAGAUCCCUAGCUGGUCUGAGAGGAUGACCAGCCACACUGGAACUGAGACACGGUCCAGACUCCUACGGGAGGCAGCAUUGGGGAAUAUUGCACAAUGGGCGCAAGCCUGAUGCAGCCAUUCCGCGUGUAUGAAGAGGGCCUUCGGGUUGUAAAGUACUUUCAGCGGGGAGGCGUUACCCGCAGAAGAAGCACCGGCUAACUCCGUGCCAGCAGCCGCGGUAAUAC